CGGAUUUUCAACAAUUUUUCUGGAAGGAGGCCAUGAGAAAUCAUAUCUAUUUCAAAGGUAUCUGUUUAUGGAUGGCUCUUUUUUAGACUUCAUUUUAUUGAAAUUAUUUCGGUGUUUGGGCGGAGUACAAACCCCUUGGACAUCUUCGUAAAUUCGCCAUUGGCACGCAUUAAAAUUUAAUAUUUUAGAUUCGUAGCCUAGCGAUGGGUUUUACUGUGGUAUGU